UUUAGGGCUUGUUUCGUCUAAAUUUUGUUUCUCAAUCUUCAUUCUUCACUCACCGUUUAUGUUAUAUAUAUACAUAUAAACCAUCAUCGAUGUGCAGCGGCGGCCGCCUUUAAAUCUCAAUAGCUUUCGAUAGUUGAUUGGUUAUCUUGGAAUAAGUGGCGGUAUUUUUUUUAUUUUUUUUUGUAAAUCGGCCCUUUUUUUUAGCAUGCUUUGAUGUAAAAUUGUAAAGUAAUCGAUCCUUCUGCGAAUGAACUAUUAUAUUUUAUUUUUAACAUAUGGUAGGAUAUCCGUGUCCACAUUCUGUUAUUUUUGGCUUGUAAACCUUUUGUUAGUAUGCUGUCCAAUAUAGUCUAUGGACCCUUUAUACCGGUAUGCUUUUCGUGGCAUUGAUGGACCCUUUAUACCGGUAUGCUUUUCUGCCACAUUCUGUUAUUAUGGACCCUUUUCGUCGUUAUGCUUUCCGAAGUUGACCCUUUCCUGUCAGUAUGCUUUACGAGGUAACUAUUGUACCUUUCAGUCAGUAUGCUUUUCGAGGUGACUAUGGACCCUUUCCAUAAGUAUGCUUUCCAAGGUAACUAUGGACCCUUUCAGUUAGUAUGCUUUCCGAGGUAACUAUGGACCCUUUCAUUUAGUAUGCUUUCCGAGGUAAUGUGGACCCUUUCAGUCAGCAUGCUUUCCGAUGUAACUAUGGACCCUUUCAGUCAGUUGCUUUUCGAGGUAACUAUGGACCCUUUACAUAAGUAUGCUUUCCGAGGUACUGUGGAGUGUGGACCCUUUCAGUCAGUAUGCUUUCCGAGGUAACUAUGGACCCUUUCAGUCAGUAAAAGUAACUAUGGACCCUUUACGUCAGUAUGCUUUACUAUGGACCCUUUCCGUGAGUAUGCUUUCCGAGAAGAAGAUAUUUGUGGUUCAUGGGGGACUUUUCAGAAAUGCCGUGGUGAUUGAGCAAUUGCACGACUUUGUGAACCCCCAGAAGAAGGGUUAAUGUGUGAGAUAUUAUGACGUGAUCCAUUCCCUAAUCCUGGUAGAGGACGAAGCAAGCAUGGCGUGGUCUCUUUUGGCGGAGAUGCUACCAAAAGGUUUCUGAAAGAUAAUAAUCUAGUUGUCUGAUCUCAUGAGGUCAAAGAUGAAGGCUAGGAAAUUGGGCAUGAUGGGAAAUUUAUCACUGUUUUCGAUUUCCAAACUGAUCGCAGAGGUCAAAGUAUGCAUCUUGAGGCAAUUAUUCAAUUCCUUGAUAGUAUACUCAACCGAUGUUGUGGUUGUGGUCAAAGUUCAAUUGGAAAAUCUGAGGGUGAUUAUUGUGAGCAUGACUUGGAUGGCAGUCAACAGAAGUCAUUAACAAUGACACUUUCUCGAAUGGAAUUUAAAAUAUGAAAAUGUGUUUGGUCUCUACGAUUGUUCAGAAUUUCUUGGCUUGCCACCAAUUAUCACAAGAAAUAGGUUAUCUGCAUAGAUGAAUUGAGUAGUGGACACUCAAAUGUCCGUUGGUGGCCUCCAUCCUUUUACCUCCUCUGUUUCCCCUGGCACCGCUCAGAAUUGCCUACCUCAAACAUAUUUGAUCUGCUAAAUAUAUGGAGAUAGUUCUUAUGAUUAUCUGUUAGAAAGGUGUUCUGGCUUAAAGGCGAAUAGUAGAAUAUUUUGUAGGUCGUGUUUGGACUUUGAACAGAGUAGUCCCCUCUAUAACUUUGAAACCUUUAAAUCAACACUGGAAACAUGUUAUGGGACUGUACUACUAUUACCUCAUUUUGCAAAA